GAUGAACGCUGGCGGUAUGCUUAACACAUGCCAGUCGAACGGACUCUUCGGAGUUAGUGGCGGACGGGUGAGUAACGCGUGAGAAUCUGGCUUUGGGUUCGGGACAACCACUGGAAACGGUGGCUAAUACCGGAUGUGCCGAGAGGUAAAAGAGAAAUUGCCUGAAGAUGAGCUCGCGUCUGAUUAGCUAGUUGGUGAGGUAAAGGCUCACCAAGGCAGCGAUCAGUAGCUGGUCUGAGAGGAUGACCAGCCACACUGGGACUGAGACACGGCCCAGACUCCUACGGGAGGCAGCAGUGGGGAAUUUUCCGCAAUGGGCGAAAGCCUGACGGAGCAGUACCGCGUGAGGGAAGAAGGCUCUUGGGUUGUAAACCUCUUUUCUUAGGGAAGAGCAAAAUGACGGUACCUAAGGAAUCAGCAUCGGCUAACUCCGUG
rnacentral:rRNA from 1 species